rnacentral:snRNA from 26 species
UGAUAGACCUUGUGGGAGCAACCUAGCUCAAGAAGUGGGUUUGCUAUGGCGGUGUCCCUGCAUUGCACAUCGCGGUGGAUGUCGCCAUUAAGUGUCCUUCGGGGCUCUUAUCCGCGUAUUUUUUGGCUC